rnacentral:rRNA from 1 species
AGCGGAGGAAAAGAAACCAACAGGGAUUGCCUUAGUAGCGGCGAGUGAAGCGGCAAAAGCUCAAAUUUGAAAUCUGGCGCCUUCGGUGUCCGAGUUGUAAUUUGAAGAUUGUAACCUUGGGGUUGGCUCUUGUCUAUGUUUCUUGGAACAGGACGUCACAGAGGGUGAGAAUCCCGUGCGAUGAGAUGCCCAAUUCUAUGUAAGGUGCUUUCGAAGAGUCGAGUUGUUUGGGAAUGCAGCUCUAAGUGGGUGGUAAAUUCCAUCUAAAGCUAAAUAUUGGCGAGAGACCGAUAGCGAACAAGUACAGUGAUGGAAAGAUGAAAAGAACUUUGAAAAGAGAGUGAAAAAGUACGUGAAAUUGUUGAAAGGGAAGGGUUUGAGAUCAGACUCGAUAUUUUGUGAGCCUUGCCUUCGUGGCGGGGUGACCCGCAGCUUAUCGGGCCAGCAUCGGUUUGGGCGGUAGGAUAAUGGCGUAGGAAUGUGACUUUACUUCGGUGAAGUGUUAUAGCCUGCGUUGAUGCUGCCUGCCUAGACCGAGGACUGCGAUUUUAUCAAGGAUGCUGGCAUAAUGAUCCCAAACCGCCCGUCUUAA